AUUCCCCUAGUAACUGCGAGUGAAGCGGGAAAAGCUCAAAUUUAAAAUCUGGUGGUCUUUGACCAUCCGAGUUGUAAUUUAGAGAAGCGUCUUCCGCGCUGGGCCGUGCACAAGUCUCCUGGAAUGGAGCGUCAUAGAGGGUGAGAAUCCCGUCUUUGGCACGGACCCCCAGGGCUUCUGUGAUGCGCUCUCGACGAGUCGAGUUGUUUGGGAAUGCAGCUCAAAAUGGGUGGUGAACUCCAUCUAAAGCUAAAUAUUGGCGAGAGACCGAUAGCGAACAAGUACCGUGAGGGAAAGAUGAAAAGCACUUUGGAAAGAGAGUGAAACAGUACGUGAAAUUGUUGAAAGGGAAACGCUUGAAGUCAGUCGCGUCGACUGAGACUCAGCCUUGCCUCGGCUUGGUGUACUUCUCGGUUUGACGGGUCAGCAUCAAUUUUGAUCCUUGGAUAAUGGCAAGGGAAAGGUAGCACCUUUUUAGGUGUGUUAUAGUCCUCUGUCGCAUGCGAGGGUCAGGAUUGAGGAACUCAGCACGCACCUUCGGGUGUCGGGGCCUUGGCCCACGUUACGUGCUUAGGAUGCUGGCAUAAUGGCUUUAAACGACCCGUCUUGAAACACGGACCAAGGAGUCUAACAUACCCGCGAGUGUUCGGGUGGAAAACCCGUGCGCGUAAUGAAAGUGAAAGUUGGGACCUCUGUCGUGGAGGGCACCGACGCCCGGACCAGACCUUCUGUGACGGCUCUGCGGUAGAGCGUGUAUGUUGGGACCCGAAAGAUGGUGAACUAUGCCUGAAUAGGGUGAAGCCAGAGGAAACUCUGGUGGAGGCUCGUAGCGAUUCUGACGUGCAAAUCGAUCGUCAAAUUUGGGUAUAGGGGCGAAAGAC
rnacentral:rRNA from 1 species